CCCAUCAAAUUUCCUAAAUACUCUCUCUCUCUCUCUCUCUCUCUCAGAGCCUUAGCCCCGCCUCAAACCCAUAUCUCCUCUCUCAGAGCCUUAGCCCUGCCUCAAACCCAUAUCUCCUCUCUCAAUAGAUAAGAUUAUAUAAUUGAAAGGCCCGAAGGAUGCUGAAAGGGGAUCUUGGUAGCAAAGGGGAUCUCGCUUCGUCCAUAGAAUCUAUUAAUCCCAACGGCCAGUUCGCUCUCUUCGGCUCUGGGGACGGUGAGCUUCCGUCUCUGUCGGAAGGUGGAAGACUUCGCUCUCUUCCUCUUCCAGCUCAACGCUCAAGGUUAAUUGCCCCGACGAGGCUGGCUGCGACCUCUGCAGCAUUGUGAUCCAAUUCGGCCUUUGCAUUACCGAAGGAGUCUCUAAUCUCUUCUGGGAUUGGAUUGAAGAAAUCCAGGCCCAACCUACUGUCUCGACUCCAACAGAGACCGGACCCAGCCAUCAUCGACGCCGGCGACCAAGAAGGCCAGACCCGCCGAUCACUCGUCGCUGAACUCGCUCUUCGGCGACCUGGGCUUCUCCGUCGAUCUUCGUCUUGUCUUCGGCUUUAUAGAUCACCUCUUUCUCUCACUUGGUCUGUUCUUCUUCUGCGUCGCCGACGACUCAUUGACGCCGACAAUGGUGGCUGAGCUCUCCGCCGCCGACUUCAUCCCCUCCGAGUCAAGUUUCAGAUUGCUCUGAAGCCUUUGAUGGUUGAUUUGGUUGAGAUGGAUGCUGUUCUAAUAUUACAAAAUCUAAAUCUUCAAUUUUAAAUCUCUAUAUAUCUUUUUUAAUCUAAACUGCAAAAUUUAGAAUACACAUAUUUCAAUUCUGCAGAUUUUAAAUACAUAAGAUUUGAAAUUCAAAUCCAAAUCAAAAUUCUGUUUCCAAACGAGGCCUAGAAGAAUUGUCUUUAUUUCUGGUUUAGUGGAUUUCAGAUAAGAACUUUUGAAUAAUACAUCACCCACAACCGCAUCCCUUCUCUUUUGGGUGAAAAUGACUCGGAUACUAGUCUCUUGUAUACUUGCUUUCUCCUUCAUCUCCACUAAUCCUGCCUUUGCAGUUGCACCUAGGCCUCUUGAAGAAGUGCUAAAGACAUCUCUCAAGGUGGAUUGACUCAAGGGCAACAAACUCAGAUCGCUUGAAAUGAACAAAGAAUAGAAAAGGUAAAAAAUUUCCCCAGAACCUAUAUUUCAACCUUUACUGGUAGUUGGGAAAUGGGGGAAGAUCUGUUGCAUCUUAAGUCCUAAUAUAUGGAGGCAGGAUGGUAGUGACCCUUCUGGUUAACACAUUAUUUUAAAAUUUCUUGCACAUUCUGGAAGAGCUUGAAAAUUUGGAAGAGACAGAGUAUUCAAGAAAGUUUAGGUGCACGUGUUGGGAAGCUAUCUCAUGGUAAGAAGAAAUAAGCAAUUGAAGAAGAAGAAGAACUUUUGAGGUACUUAAUUAAUGAAAAUUAUCUAUGUAAAAGUAUUGCACGUUUAGAAUUUAAGACACUCAAGUACUCACUUUUCCAAGAUUGGACUUUAAAUUCUAUAAUUGAUAAGCUAUUCAGAUUACAGUAAUAAUUAGACUCUGAAAUCAUAGUAUUGAAUUCCUAAUCAUUAGAUUCUGUAAUUGUGAUACUUGCAUUUUGUUGAACUGGCUUUAGAUUCUGAUAUGGUGGGGUUUGUUAACAUUGUUAUUGUCCUUUUCCCAAAAGCCACUCUCUUUGAUCUAACCUCUUCUAGUUGUGUUAUUGUCGAGAAUGUUACUUUGUGCUUACUAACUUAACACUUUCUCUAGUGUUUUCUCUGAGUUGGUUUUUGGGUUAAAAACUGAAUCUAGUAUAUACAAAAGUAUGUUUUUUUUGGUCUUUCUGACCCCUUUUGGCUUACGACAAUCAAGCAGUUUGGUGUCUAUCGGCAUUCAAAAGAAAUCCUUCACAGUUUGAGUCUCUUAGUAAUUCCUUAUUCUUCUCCUCCUGUACCUCCGCUCUCUCUUUGUUUGGCUAAGUUAGAAUUUUCAUUCUUUUACUUAAAUCUCUAGCAACCGAUCUGGAAAACUAAAAUCAAUUUCACUUCCAUCUGUUUUGGGCUAUUCUUCCUCUUGUAAUACUUCUGUGUUUCUCAUGGUUUUUACUUUAUGAUGAGUAUACGGCAUAGUGAAUUGUUCAAUUGCUACUCAAAUUGAGGGUCUGUAGUAGUAAUUUUGAAUUGUUUUGACUUUUUUUUUCUUUUAUGCAGUCUCUCAGGUCGAACAUUUUGACCUCUUUCUGCAUUUGUGGGGUUUCUUAUAAUUCUUUUUAUUAUCUUAAACUGGGAUUAAUCUCUUGCUUUUAAACUUAUGUUUAGUAUUAAUAUAUGGGUUUUGGUUAUACUCGGUUGAUUUUCAAAAAUGCAUCGAGCAUGCCCAUUUGGUAAUUGUGAUUCCAGAAUAUAGCAACUAGGCUCCAAUGUUUGACAAUUUUACUUUACAAGUCCUUGGUCCUAAAAAUUAUCCAGAACCCGUUUCUUUUUACAUUCCCAUGUUUCACCAUGAUUUCCGACUUGGGUUCUCACAUUUCUACUCUUCGUCUAAUCUAGUCUCACGUAUAUAUCGUUUGUCCUUCUCUUUUGUUUCUGGGUUGUUACUUUGGUGUUCACAAUGACAGAUUUAAUUUAUAUUUUGUCAUUGUUGAGUAUUAAUUUUCUGAAACCUCAUUUUUUUUGUACUUUUUAUGUUGAAAAUAGGAUGGUAAGACGGAUGAAAGCCACCACCGCAACAAUUUCAGCACAUGCAGUGAAAAGUUCUAGGCAAACUUUGAAGGCAAGUGAUUGGCAUCUUGAAGGAGCUGGGAGCAUUUAAUAUAUUCUACAGCCAAGCCAUAGGAGGAGAAGAAAAAAACAAAUGUCUAAGCUCUAGAGUACAUUGCAAAUUAUUUUGCUAUUCAGCUUCAAUAGUUAGGUCUCAUGGAACUUUUGCUAUUCAGACUCAUGGAACAAUUAACGACUAGAGUAGUUGUAUUUUGAUGGUUGUAGUGACAUUGGAGGUUCCAUAAUGAAUGAGAACAUCAAUGAAUGGCACGAGCAAACUUAUAUGUGUCA